UACGAAGGGUGCGAGCGUUAUUCGGAAUGACUGGGCGUAAAGAGUGUUAAGGCGGUCUAUUAAGUCAGCUGUUAAAUUCCUUGGCUCAACCGAGGGUCCGCAGUUGAUACUGAAUGACUAGAGUGUAGGAGAGAAGAGUAGAAUUCUCGGAGUAGCGGUAAAAUGCGUAGAUCUCGAGAGGAAUACCGGUUGCGAAGGCGGCUCUUUAGCCUACUACUGACGCUCAAGCACGAAAGCGUGGGGAGCAAACAGGAUUAGAUACCCUGGUAGUCCACGCUGUAAACGAUGAUCACUGGAUGUGGGUUUUGCUUAGCAGAAUCCGUGUCGAAGCUAACGCGUUAAGUGAUCCGCCUGAGAAGUACGGUCGCAAGAUUA
rnacentral:rRNA from 1 species